rnacentral:piRNA from 1 species
UUUUAGUUCCGAUUUCUUUUU